ACGGAGGGUCCAAGCGUUAUCCGGAUUUAUUGGGUUUAAAGGGUUCGUAGGCGGAAAGAUAAGUCAGUGGUGAAAGCCUGUGGCUCAACCAUAGAAUUGCCAUUGAUACUGUCUUUCUUGAAUGCAAAUGAAGUGGGCGGAAUGUGUCGUGUAGCGGUGAAAUGCUUAGAUAUGACACAGAACACCGAUUGCGAAGGCAGCUCACUAAAUUGUUAUUGACGCUGAGGAACGAAAGCGUGGGGAGCGAACAGG
rnacentral:rRNA from 1 species